ACGACAGUCAGGUCAAAUAAUUCGUAUUUUUAAAUUCUCAGGGUGAGCGGGGUCAAAGUUCACUCGUGCGUGUCCCUCAUGAGAGACUUAACAGGUUUCAGUCAGUCAGUCCGUGGAGGAAUAACAAGAUCUCAUGACGAUAGAACGAUGACAAAACAAGACAUACAGCAACGUCUUUUGUGUUAAUGGCUGAAAUGAAGAUUACACUGGGCAAAAAUAAUGGUAGUUUUACAUCCGUCCUCCAAAUCCUGAUGCUGUAAAGGGGUUAAUAAAAUAAUAUAAAAUAAAAUAAACAUAUUCCACUCCACCGGUCCUGGGGUGGGUGGACCACUAGUAUGGACCCCUGGCAAAAUCUGGUGUCCAGAUGUUCGGCAUGGUGGCAGAUGCAUACACCGCAUGCUCUGAGAAUUUGUGUGUAUGAAGUGUGUAAACCUCUGGUGCCACUUCUGCUGGUCAUUGCAGCCCUGGUGGCUGUGAUUGUGUAUGCUCUGGCAGAUAAACUACACAGUUUUGUAAGCAGGAUCUUCCUUCCCCAGUAUCACUAUCCUUAUGCGGUGCCACUUGCAUUCAUACAGACUUAGGACCAACAAAUGUUCAUUCGGUCUGAGGACUGGAAUUGGGAACUGCUGAUGUAGCCUAUUGCAGUGGCGAAGCUAUGGGUGGGCCCAGGUGGGCAAAGGCCCACCCAUUUUCCAGCCAUUCACCCAGUGAGAAGCUGGUAUUUUUAAAUCUCCUGGCACUGCUAGCUUUGCACGGUGUGGGGCUGAUCCACCUGAAGCCUUUUUCACUGAGGCUGGGUGAGCGUUUGUUUGUGCCGGCGGUCUGUGGGAGCGUCCAGUGCGUUCUGGCCAUAUGGGCUGAAGCCUAUUCCCACUCUGGCCUGUUCCCGCUAAUCGCCCGUUUCCUCCCAAUGGUCAGUGUGAGCUUGGGUCACCUGUUUGCACUGAGUAUGCCAGGCUCCAUCCAUGUCUCCUGCUUUCUGACUGUGCUCACUUUUGCCUCAGUCACCAUCACAGCAUGUAAAGGACUUCAUGCGAUGGAGCCGCUGGAGUAUGUCUUCUCUCCCCUCAGCCUUGUCCUCCACAGCCUCUCUCUUGCCUGGCUAGCCAAAGUCUCCCAAACGGAGCGAGGCCAUACCUCGACCUUUGACCUUUACUACACUCUGACAGUGACACGUACCCUCUUAUUAGGGUUUCUAUGUGUGUUGCACCCUGAUGGACCAAAGGCACUGAUUCUUGGCAACUGGCACAGUCUGCUGUUUCUGGGAUACAUGCUCGGGAUGUUACUGCUGGGUGCUGUGCAGCUUCUCUUUGUGGAUUUAACAGCACUGUAUUUUUCUGCUCUCCCAGCAGCCGUGCUGCAUGCGACCAGAGGGCUGGUUCUACCCCUGUUCAGUCUGCUAUAGGACACAUAAACCAAUCAGAGUGUAGAUCAUUCUGAAGAGGAACAGUUAAUGUAGAAUAACCAAUCAAAUACCUGAUACCAUGAUUGAUAAAAACAGUAUUAGAACUUAAUUUAUAUAGGCAUGACAGCCUCAUAUUCACAUGCUAAUUAUAAUUAAUUAAUCUGGUAAUACUACCAGCAAGCACUGAUGUGCGACUCCUUUCUUCGCUUGCCCUGAAAGUACAACACAACUAAGACACACAUCCUGCAAAUGGGGUGUUUUCAUGAAGGCGCUGAUACUUCAGUUCUGAAUUAAAUUAUAAAGGUAAAAUACAGGUUUCUCUGACAAGCUUUUUCGUAAAGACUGUAUUAUUUUUUCGAUGUAUCAGCUGGAUGUUCUGAGAAAGAAUUAUAAUAUAAAAUUAUAUAUAUUUUUUUCUUUUUGCAUAAAGAAGUGGAAGCCUUUUUGGGACCUUUAGGGUAUAUCCUAAACCACAAUUCUUAAUUCCCAUUACAGCAAUGAAAAAUUGUUAUGGUUGUCUAUUAAAAAUCAGACAGGAAUAUAUUCAUCUAUAGUUAAAAUUACAAACUAAAAAAUAAAACCUACGAGUGCCUUACAGUAAUGAGAAUGUAGAAUGUGCUUAAGUUUCAUAAAAAUAAUCCAAAAUGCAAAAAUAACCAACCUUAAAGGUCCUAAAAUUGCUUAAUUUUUUAUGCAAAAUAUAUAUUUUUGAGGGUGAAAUAUGAUCUAAGCAUGUUCUUGACAAGCUUUGUGAAAUUUACCCAAGUAUGUCAUUCACUUUAAAAUAACCUUACAAACAUAGACCAGAGGAGCCUUCCACUGGUAAAAUGCAUGGUUUGUAGAAAUCACAGCUAUAAACUGCAAUACAAGAAUUUAACUUUAUUACAGUAGUGAUAUACUGUUCAAAAAGAAAACCUGUGACUCAUGUUUUUAUGUAGCUCCUAAUAUACAGUACAACUACAGUAUUAUUGUUAAUGUUUGGAGCAAAUAAAACUAUUGAUGAGGCUUUCUCAUGACUAAACCAAA